rnacentral:pre_miRNA from 1 species
UCUUAUGGAGGAGCAAAUGAAGUGGUUUCUUAAGAUAGAAUCUACUCCUAGUGAAUAUGCAGUGAA